AACUUUGCAUUAAAAUGACAUAUCGUAUUUUAAAAAAUAAACUAUAAUAUAGAAUUCAUAUAUAUAUAUUUUAGCCUUUGUCUCAUAAAAUUGGCAGAGUAAGUGUAACAGGCAAACACAUAAAGUGUACCAUCAUAAUGCCAGUAUUGUAUCAUGGAUGGAAUUAAAGGAAGAAAUAUUCAUUAUAUAUAAGUAAAUUACUGAAAACAUAAAAAGAAUAAUUAAUUAUUAUCAAAAUGAUUUUUAAUAACAUUAGAGUUGAAAAAAUUAAAGAAGAAAAAAUGUGGAUCAAUUUAUGUUAGGUGUUCCAAGAUGAUUCAGAUGUUAAGGUUUAGGAUGCAGAGUUUAAGAAUUAUAGAAUUUAACUUUGCG
rnacentral:misc_RNA from 1 species